rnacentral:lncRNA from 1 species
AGAUUUUGAUUGACACAAACAGAGAUAUCUUUUACAUUAUAAAAUGACCAAACAAUUUUUAUUGAUUACACAUGUAAAUGAAAAAAAAAAUAUGAAUAUAAUUCUCAAAUUUGUGUGUGUUCUCAUUCUAUUUAUUUCUCUACUUGUGGUAAAUGGAGCCAUUGGUAAGUAUUUUUCUCAUCAACCUUCAACUUUUUUGUAAAUUGUAAUAUACACAAUCUAUUAUCCCAUUUGAAUAACAUUAUUUGUGUUUUACAUUAUAGUAUCUCGCAAAUGUAAAACACAUGCCGAUUGUAAACAGUAUUGUGACUCACCUGCAAUUCCUCAAUGCAUUUGGAUGAAAUGUUAUUGUGUUUAAACAGUUAAGUUAACACAUAAUUUUGUUACUUCUAAACUUUAAGUUUUAUUAAACGUGUUUUUGUUAGUUGUUACUCUUAUAAUUUCUUGCACAACUCGAAUUUUCUCUUUCUGACCUUUAAAUUUCUUUCAGAAGCACAGGAGUAUAUAUCAUGCAACGGUUGUCAUCAUUGUUUUUGCAAUAUACUUGUCUCUAAAUAUUAGCACCCAUUUUACAAAAUUAUUAUCUUUAAACAUUAACUUCUUUUCAAAACUAGUGGUUAUGAUUAUGUAAAAUUAUUAUUAAACAAAGACAAUAUGAUUAUGAUUAUGUAAAGUAAGCAUCUAUUAUUUAUUUUAGUCCUACAUUUCAGACGUGAAUAAAUAUUACUAUCGUGUAUUUUAAUGUUUCUUAUAUGCAUACCCUUUUUUUUAUAACGC